UACGUAGGGGGCUAGCGUUGUCCGGAAUCAUUGGGCGUAAAGCGCGUGUAGGCGGUCCGGUAAGUCCGCUGUGAAAGUCGGGGGCUCAACCCUCGAAUGCCGGUGGAUACUGUCGGGCUAGAGUACGGAAGAGGCGAGUGGAAUUCCUGGUGUAGCGGUGAAAUGCGCAGAUAUCAGGAAGAACACCAAUGGCGAAAGCAGCUCUCUGGGACGGUACUGACGCUGAGACGCGAAAGCGUGGGGAGCGAACAGG
rnacentral:rRNA from 1 species